rnacentral:misc_RNA from 1 species
CCGAGUUUACAACUCCCAAACCCAGUGUGAACGUUACCAAACUGUCGCCUCGGCGGGAUCUCUGCCCCGGGUGCGUCGCAGCCCCGGACCAAGGCGCCCGCCGGAGGACCAACCAAAACUCUUAUUGUAUACCCCCUCGCGGGUUUUUUUAUAAUCUGAGCCUUCUCGGCGCCUCCCGUAGGCGUUUCGAAAAUGAAUCA